GACGAACGCUGGCGGCGUGCCUAAUACAUGCAAGUCGAACGCUUCUUUCCUCCCGAGUGCUUGCACUCAAUUGGAAAGAGGAGUGGCGGACGGGUGAGUAACACGUGGGUAACCUACCCAUCAGAGGGGGAUGACACUUGGAAACAGGUGCUAAUACCGCAUAACAGUUUAUGCCGCAUGGCAUAAGAGUGAAAGGCGCUUUCGGGUGUCGCUGAUGGAUGGACCCGCGGUGCAUUAGCUAGUUGGUGAGGUAACGGCUCACCAAGGCCACGAUGCAUAGCGGACCUGAGAGGGGGAUCGGCCACACGGGGACGGAGACACGGCCCAGACUCCUACGGGAGGCAGCAGUAGGGAAUCUUCGGCAAUGGACGAAAGUCUGACCGAGCAACGCCGCGUGGGUGAAGAAGGUUUUCGGAUCGUAAAACUCUGUUGUUAGAGAAGAACAAGGACGUUAGUAACUGAACGUCCCCUGACGGUAUCUAACCAGAAAGCCACGGCUAACUACGUG
rnacentral:rRNA from 1 species